CCUGGAAUUAAAGGAUAGAGAAAGAACAAGUUAUUGCUGUGUCUGGAGAGAAAGCAACGUGACGAGGAAACAUGCUCCCCUUCGUGACAAAUCCUGAACAGGUGUUUCCUUAAUUUUGUUAACUUAUUUUUGUUUUACUUUUUGUACUGCACGAAUCUAUUUGUGAGAACUAAACGUAAUUGAUCCUUGUUAUAUAACUUCCCAACCGUUAAAGGGUGUUUAACUGGACAUUCAAGUUGCGCAGUGUGCACGCCGACCAGCUUGUCGUCAAGCCAUAGGUAUUGAUGUUGUCCCAUUAACAUCCAGAAGACGUGAUAGACAGAGAGUACUCAAUCAAAAAGACAGCCGCUGGAAUCACAAGCUCCAGGCCACUACCUUUCCAGGACUUAAUGACUCUAUAGACAUGGUUUCGUUUAUAGAUGUAUAUAUUGAUUAUUAGUAUUUUAGCAGUUCCUAUAGAUAUAGAUUUUUGAUUGUUUUUGUACUGUUAUUGUUUAUAUAUGUGCAUUGUUGCCUGUCGAUUUUCAGUGGAUUUAGUAGUCUAUUACACUGACCUCUAGUGGUGACAGGUCUAUACUGUUCUCUUUACAAACUGAUUUUCUGAUCAGCUGUUUGUCGUUUUAACUAAUUGCUACUCAUUUGAAUGUUUGCCUGAAUUGCUUUCAUUGUUAUGCCCUGAUGAAGACCGUGUGAGGCCGAAACAUAUUGGUGUAGUUUUAAAAAUGUUUCUAUAUGAACUAGCCCUUCAUUAAAGGCUUUUUAUUCUAAGAAGAGUGCCUUGGACUUGCUGUAUUCAUUAUUUUGUCGGUUUUUUCCCACGAUUUUUUCCAAAGGGCACCUUCACAAUACUUCUUUCGGCUUUACCCUUUCUAGAAGCGCCAAAGCCCUCUUCCUGUUCUUUUAGGUGUUCAGUUGGGUUGAGGUCUGCUGACUGUGAAGGCCAUAGCAUAUGAUUCACACCAUUUCCAUACUCAUAAAGCCAUUCAGUGAUUCCUCAUGCAUUGAGGAUGGGGGCAUUGUCAUCCUGGAAGAGACCACUCCCAUCAGGAUAGACAUGUUCAUCAUAGGAUAAAGGUGAUCACUCAAAAUAACUUUGUAUUGGUUUGCAGUUACCCUGCCCUCUAAGGGGACAAAGGGACCCAAACCAUUCCAGGAAAAUUCACCCCACAGCAUUACAGAGCCACUGGACCCCCUCACUGUAGGGGUCAAGCAUUCAGGCCUGUACCUUUCUCUUGGUGUAUGCCACACAUGCACUCGCCCACUUGUCGAGAAUAUGGUGAAGAGUUGCUCUUCUGUUUUUCCUUACAUAUCCCACUAAUGCACAAGCAUCACAGUCAUUGAACGUGUACCUUUGACCACAAUGUCUGACCCUGUUUACUGAUGUCUUUCCCAUAGAUCUAAAUGCAGAACUUUAGUCACUGUUCCUAUUGAAACACUAGCCAGUUGAGCAGUCUUUGUGACUGCCUUCUAUACAAUUCCUGCCUUCAAACCCCCCUGUAAUGAACCCUCUUCCAAAGUCACUUAGAUAUUUUCCUCCUGCCAUUUUGAUCCAAAAUUGAGGUCAACUGGGCAGCUCAGCAUUUUUAUACGUGCCACACAGCAUGAUAGGAUGUUAAUUCAUUAAUUGUAUCAUGCAGUGCAUCUAUGGAAGCAUCUGCAUUCGUUAUGUUUCUCCACUCAUUUAUUCAGGUUUUUACUAUAAUUUGGCACCUGUCUAUAUAUAGCCAUGUGUGUUCUGAUAUUUAAUAUUAAAGAACUAUAUUUAAAAAUACUACAUACAUUUUCCCAUAAAAAUGAAAAGUGCAGAAGGAUAAGCAUGAAACAAUGGUACUUAUGAAAUGCUAAAGAAUCUAAAGCAAUGCCUUUUAUUUAUUUUUUUCUUUAAAAAAGAAAAUUUUACCAAAAUGUUUACCAACUGUUGGCUUGCAAAGAAUUGGUGAGCAGACAUUAUUGAUUCAUUUCUUUUACCAUUUACAGUUUUCACAAGGCACUGGGGAAAUGUGGGAUAUGUUUAAAAAGCUGGUUUGAAAUAGCAACACUGAUUGGCCCUCUUUCCGACCCUGAUUUGACAGCACAAACCAUGUGAACAGCAACUGCACUUGGAAGUGAAGAGCUGGAUGCAGUUUGUGUCAGUAGUACAGCUGCAUUGGGGCCAGAGCAGACCAGUUCAGAGGGGUACAUGUCUAUCACUUCUGCUAAAACCUAAACUGAAGCCGAGUCAAGCCUGAUACCUUGUGAACUAAUACAAUAUGUAAUAUAAUUCAACUUUAUGGCAAUUCACCUCUGUAUCAGUCUACUGCAGCUGUGUUCACCGCAGGGGCUGAAUUUACCAGCAGCAUGUUCACACAAAUCCUGUGCUCAACUGUGCCUCCAUCCUUAAUGCUAAACCCGAUAUGAAGGUUCACAGGAAUGUUGCUCCCAUCACAGUUCAGAACAUGCACACAUUAUAGGCAUCCCCUAGUGGCCAAAAUACAGUAGUGCAGGGAAGAUGAAAGAUUUAGUUCAGAUGGAAGAGAGUAAUGUCCGUGGUACAUCUGCUGGACAGUUCGUUUUUCAUAAUUUCAAAUGACACAAUGAUCAAAACCAAUAAAAAUGUCAAACUCUAAAAUAACAGCAAUGUAUUUAAACACAAAAAAAUAACAGAA